GAUGAACGCUGGCGGCGUGCCUAAUACAUGCAAGUCGAGCGAACAGAUGAGGAGCUUGCUCCUCUGACGUUAGCGGCGGACGGGUGAGUAACACGUGGAUAACCUACCUAUAAGACUGGGAUAACUUCGGGAAACCGGAGCUAAUACCGGAUAAUAUAUUGAACCGCAUGGUUCAAUAGUGAAAGACGGUUUUGCUGUCACUUAUAGAUGGAUCCGCGCCGCAUUAGCUAGUUGGUAAGGUAACGGCUUACCAAGGCAACGAUGCGUAGCCGACCUGAGAGGGUGAUCGGCCACACUGGAACUGAGACACGGUCCAGACUCCUACGGGAGGCAGCAGUAGGGAAUCUUCCGCAAUGGGCGAAAGCCUGACGGAGCAACGCCGCGCGAGUGAUGAAGGUCUUCGGAUCGUAAAACUCUGUUAUUAGGGAAGAACAAAUGUGUAAGUAACUAUGCACGUCUUGACGGUACCUAAUCAGAAAGCCACAGCUAACUACGUG
rnacentral:rRNA from 1 species